rnacentral:tRNA from 1 species
UCCUCUGUAGUUCAGUCGUAGAACGGCGGACUGUUAAUCCGUAUGUCACUGGUUCGAGUCCAGUCAGAGGAGCCA